CAAUAGCGUAUAUUAAAGUUGUUGCAGUUAAAAAGCUCGUAGUUGAAUUUCUGUCAGGAGUGACCGGGCCUUUGGAUGAACUUCCAUUGUUUUUUGCUCUGUUUGUCAUCUCUAGACAUCCUGAAAUAUUCUUUAAAAAUAUUUCUCUUUUACUGUUAGCAAAAUAGAGUGUUCCAAGCAAAGCGUAGUUUUGAAUACAUUAGAAUGGAAUAAUAAGAUAGGACUUUGGUGCUAUUUUGUUGGUUUGCACACCAAGGUAAUGAUUAAUAGGGACAGUUGGGGGUAUUCGUAUUUAAUUGUCAGAGGUGAAAUUCUUGGAUUUAUGAAAGACGAACUACUGCGAAAGCAUUUACCAAGGAUGUUUUCAUUAA
rnacentral:rRNA from 1 species